ACCCUGUACCUUUGCUCCUAAGCAGGAAGAUGGGCUUCUGACCAUGUCCUGCUAGAGGACACUGAAAGUGCAAGCCUUGGGCUUUAACCAGGCAAUGGAAAAUUUAAAUUGGGCUCCAGAGAAGAGACAUUGAGACUGAUACUUCCAGCACUGAGGAUCUACCUCUAGAAGUCUAGCUCAAAACUUGGCCUCCAGCCUGGGCACUGCCUCAUACCUGCAAGAAUUGACCUCAAUGGAGCUGCACAAUGAGAGGUUUUGCAUGUUGUCUAGAGGACUUUGGUUGAGUUCAGAGCUGAGCACACUUGCCUUCUGACUCUCCUGGGACUCCCAGUUCUCAUCCAUAUGAGCAAGGGCUUCAUGUUACUGGCCGUGGCCCUGUGCUGAGUCCUCCUCCCGCCCAUGGCCCUCUCCUCCUGGCCAGUGGUCCUCUGCCUGAACAUGGCCGACUUUGUCUUCAGUUUCCUCUGCAUUAGCAUUGGGCUCCUGAUUUCUCUUCAGCCUGACGCUCUUUUCAGUUAACUGCAAGGCGGUGCACCCGAGUCCAGUGGCGUCCUACCUGGUGACCUCCUACCUGUGCUGGGACGCCAGCGACUUGAUGCUGCACACCGGGCGCAGCGAGGCGGACAUCCAAACAGCGGAACUCAGACACAGACUCCGAGCACACCCCGGGCCUUCCCAUUUCAUACACCCUCGAGGAUGAGACCCAAGCACCUCCAAGGAAUAGCACCCGAGCUCUUCAGGACACUGACCGGUGGCCAUGGCCAGAUGCCCGGCCAACCCCUUCAGCGUGGCCACGCCCCGGAUAUUCGACCUCCCCUGAGGCCCCACCCCCUGAUAUCAGGCCACGCCCCCCAAGGGGACCGGUGGCAAACUCCAACCCUCGCUCUAGGGCCCGCCCUUUGCGGCUUUGUCCCUGCCCACUGGGUCCUCACAGUACCUCCACCCCAGAAGUCCAGCAUCCCCUCCCGUUCUGCAGACACUUGUCCAGUGUCCUGCUAAGCUCGGCAGUGUGGCUAGUUUGUGUGGCCCUGCCCCUGGUGCCCAGCCUUCGCAGGCCACACCCUGAAGCCACUCUCCACCCCCUCAGCC
rnacentral:lncRNA from 1 species